GUACUCGGCCAUUACAGAUUGAAUUUACAAACUGACACUCUGACAACACCGCACUCUGAACGUACUCGGCCAUUACAGAUUGAAUUUACGAACUGACACUCUGACAACACCGCACUCUGAACGUACUCGGCCAUUACAGAUUGAAUUUACGAACUGACACUCUGACAACACCGCACUCUGAACGUACUCGGCCAUUACGGAUUGAAUUUACAAACUGGCACUCUGACAACACCGCACUCUGACCGUACUCGGCCAUUACAGAUUGAAUUUAGGAAUUGACACUCUGUUGUGUAUUGCCAUGACAACCUCAAUGUUGUGUUUGAGAAAAGUCGGGCUAUGUUUGCAACAUUGUCAGUGAAAUUACUAUUGUACUGUGUCUGCAGAUAAUUUCCAAUAUCACCAUCUAGACUUCUUCUAAAUCUGUUGUCCAUUGUGAUUAACUGUAUAUUUUGUAUAUAUUUUGGAGUUAAACAGGAUUUAAAUGGUGAAGUAUUUACUAAUAACACAGGAUCAAGAGGAACAAAACGCUUUUGUAUUUGUCCUAUGCAUUCUUCAGUCUGUCUGAAUUCCUGCCACGUUCACGCUCCAGUCAGAACUAGGAAACGCUGACAUUUCCCACUUGCUAACUGGUUGAACGUGGCACGGCACGUCUAACUUCAAACAGUUAGCAUGUCGGACAUUUCUGAGUUUCCUAGUUCCGAUUAGUACAUGAACGCGGCAAUAUAGUGACAUUUUGGUCAUUGUGUACUUACUGAAGAGACAAAUGAACUGUUGUCCAGGGUGUUUUCUCAGUGGUCAUUCACAAUGCACUGAUGCUAUGCACGUAUUAAUUAACCAAUGACAGGGGCAGUAUUUUAUGAACAAUAUUUGUGUCAUGUGCUCUUUAAACACUGUGGGAAGCAUGCAUCAAUGUGGUAAAUUUAUCAAUAAGCUCAACUCGGUUUUGAUUUGAUUUCUCUGCUGUGAUAUAAUAAUUACCUGUUGAUUUAUUAUGUGUUGUUGUCACUGCUCUGCUAAUACACACCUUCUGCAAGGUAAUGCUUCUCAAUGUCAGUUAGAAAAUUAUUUACAGCUAUUUGGAUUAUUUGUUAUUCAUUUGUAUUUUCUAUGUUUGAAUUGAUGAGUUUUAUGGAGAACAGAUUUGUCCCCCCCCAUUUAUGAGUCUUUUUUUUUAUAUGAAUUUAUUUCCUUUCAUGUUACUGUAAAAUCUCUUGUAAAAAGGCAUAAUUUCUAAAAACGUGUUGAUUGCCAUGAAAAAAAAUAAACUUCUGUAAUUCUUUAACAACGG
ensembl:lncRNA